rnacentral:rRNA from 1 species
AAGGGCCUACGGGAGGCAACAGUGAGGAAUAUUGGUCAAUGGCCGGAAGGCUGAACCAGCCAAGCCGCGUGAAGGAAGAAGGCGCCAGGCGUCGUAAACUUCUUUUGUCGGGGAACAAAGGGCGCCACGUGUGGCGUUGUGAGUGUACCCGAAGAAAAAGCAUCGGCUAACUCCGUGCCAGCAGCCGCGGUAAUACGGAGGAUGCGAGCGUUAUCCGGAUUUAUUGGGUUUAAAGGGUGCGUAGGCGGUCCGGAAAGUCAGCGGUAAAAGCCCGGGGCUCAACCCCGGCGAGCCGUUGAAACUGC